ACGGGAGGCAGCAGUAGGGAAUAUUGCACAAUGGGGGAAACCCUGAUGCAGCGACGCCGCGUGAGUGAUGAAGUAUUUCGGUACGUAAAACUCUAUCAGCAGGGAAGAUAAUGACGGUACCUGACUAAGAAGCCCCGGCUAACUACGUGCCAGCAGCCGCGGUAAUACGUAGGGGGCAAGCGUUAUCCGGAUUUACUGGGUGUAAAGGGAGUGUAGGUGGUUUGGCAAGCCAGAUGUGAAAGCCCGGGGCUCAACCCCGCGGACUGCAUUUGGAACUGUUAAACUUGAGUGCAGGAGAGGAAAGUGGAAUUCCUAGUGUAGCGGUGAAAUGCGUAGAUAUUAGGAGGAACACCAGUGGCGAAGGCGGCUUACUGGACGAUUACUGACGCUGAGGCUCGAAAGCGUGGGGAGCAAACAGGAUUAGAUACCCUGGUA
rnacentral:rRNA from 1 species